AGUGGUCUCCUUGGAUGUUUCAAAGGAUUUGCUUUUGCCCCAACAACAUAUUUUCUCCCUUGCAUAAUGUGGCUUGCCUUCCAGACUGCGAAAUUGUUGUAUUCAACAUUGCCAAAGUGGAACUUCAGACAUCCCAAAAACAAUUUUUUCCCACCAACUAUGAGUUAUGGUCAUGGGAAACCUUCGGUGAAGACAUUUCUUCAUGGACAGGUGAUACAACUCUCACAGUCAUUGGUUUCUUAGAUCAGUUGAACAUCACUAUAGACCCCAAUGAUUAUCUACGGUACACUACCAGGUGAGAUUAAGCAACUGAACUUCUUUUUCCAUUCAAUGUAUCUGUGAAAAAUGUAUUUCCAAUUAUAUAAGAGAACUUUGCAGAACUUGAUGUUUUUAGUGUCGACAUAAGUCCAUCUGAAUCAUUUCUGCGUGGUGGU